CAUUUUAUGACGUAAUUUUAGUUUGGAUGAGAGUGAAAAUUAUUUGGAAGAGAGCAGACGGCUGUGAGCAGGGAAGAGAGGCGGUCAGAAAGUGUGUGUGGUGUUCGUUUCGGAUACUGUGUGGGUCGAUCCCUGCGGAUCAUGUGUGGUACCAGUUUUGGGGCAGAGAGGAUUUUACGUAGACGUGGCAAUUGUGGAUGUGAGUAAGUAAGACUAUAAUGAAUUAUUCAGAAACAUAUGACAGUUCGUAGAAUAUUGAAAGGAACAUGUGUAUGACGUCUUGGUGACAUGAAGAGAACUAUUGGAGCAGCCUGUGCGCUGUAGUAUUUCUGGAAUUGAAAGAUAUUUGACAUAUAUCUUAUAAUUUAGAAGCAAACUGAAAGACUCAGACAUUUCUAUAUCUUUAGUUAAUGUUGACUGUUAUAAAGUUUUUGUUGCCUACGACAAAUCUAAGUGUUUUGUGAGUGAAGGAAAGAACACGAAAGGGGACGCGUGCGUGAAGUGAAAGUGUGAGAUUAAAAAAACAAAAACAGCGUUCCUGACAAAAAUAAUGCCACUCCUAGUCUCAUCUGCAGAUCAUAUAACUUCCAUCAUUUGCUCAGUGGCUAGCAGUUUCAUCAUACAGCCUAUAAACUUUCCACUCUGGCUCAUUCUGCUGUGUCGGGUUCUGGUCCUCAGAAAUUGUGCGGUUUCAUUAUCAUGCAGUUUACAAUCUUAUUCAUUCAUAUAUGUAAAAUUGUUAAUAGAUUAAUGGCCUCUGUAAUUACUUGUGUACUUUCAGAACAAGUUGGCAGCCAUUUUGAAGAUUGAGGAAGAGGAGAAGGCACAAGUCAUUAGGCUAGGAGAUGCCAGUGUAGCCUCCCCUUUUACCUACAAUUUGUCAACAGUCAUGAGUGAACAAGUUGGCAGCCAUUUUGAAGAUUGAGGAAGAGGAGAAGGCACAAGUCAUUAGGCUAGGAGAUGCCAGUGUAGCCUCCCCUUUUACCUACAAUUUGUCAACAGUCAUGAGUGGUGAGUAAAUCUGAGCUGCUUUAUUUUUUUUUUUUUAUCAGGGAUUUACUUCUCUUGAUGGAGCCGCUCAGGGCAUCCACAUUGAUAACUUUGUUGCUGACAGUGGAUGGCCAGAUGGCUACCACACAUGUUUCCGCUAGAGUAACUUUUUACACAUGUUAAUAGAUUAAUGGCCUCUGUAAUUACUUGUGUACUUUCAGAACAAGUUGGCAGCCAUUUUGAAGAUUGAGGAAGAGGAGAAGGCACAAGUCAUUAGGCUAGGAGAUGCCAGUGUAGCCUCCCCUUUUACCUACAAUUUGUCAACAGUCAUGAGUGAACAAGUUGGCAGCCAUUUUGAAGAUUGAGGAAGAGGAGAAGGCACAAGUCAUUAGGCUAGGAGAUGCCAGUGUAGCCUCCCCUUUUACCUACAAUUUGUCAACAGUCAUGAGUGAACAAGUUGGCAGCCAUUUUGAAGAUUGAGGAAGAGGAGAAGGCACAAGUCAUUAGGCUAGGAGAUGCCAGUGUAGCCUCCCCUUUUACCUACAAUUUGUCAACAGUCAUGAGUGGUGAGUAAAUCUGAGCUGCUUUAUCUUUUUUUUUUAUCAGGGAUUUACUUCUCUUGAUGGAGCCGCUCAGGGCAUCCACAUUGAUAACUUUGUUGCUGACAGUGGAUGGCCAGAUGGCUACCACACGUUUCCGCUAGAGUAACUUUUUACACAUGCAUGCUCACACAUGCCUAUAUACACACGGUCUUCUGAACCAUUAGUAAUUUGAGGAAUUUGAUCUAGCUUUAAACUAGAAAAACAGAAAUGAAAAAAAAACCCAAGGUAUUUAUUGCCCUUUGCACAGUCAGUAUUUAGUCUAGUGUGUGGGCAUCAUUGACACCAGAAACCUUCCUCUUUUGUCUACAGUUUGUGAUAUCAUCAAGCAGGAUCUCUGUACCCUGGUUACCACAUUUAAAUUGUUUAAGAUCCUGGCCCUCAGUGCUUUGAUCCUUGCUUCAGCCAGAGUGUCCAUUAUCGGGAUGAUAUUAAGUUUUCAGACGCACAUGCGACCUUGCAGGGUCUAGUGUUGGCUGGCAAAGACAAUAUUUCAGAUAAUGUACCAUUUUUCAGGUGCCAGAGAAAAACUCAGAUUUACUUUACAAACAGUAGUUCUUCACACAGGUAUUCAUAGUUUAACCCAUCUGUAUAAAGUCCUUUUAUGUCCUGGGACUUUCGCCCUCACACCCAGUCACACGCGUACACAGUGACAAACACACUCAACCAACAAGACAGUUGUCAAACGUAUAAAUUUAACUAUUAAAACAAAGUCAAAACUCUUUAACAAUAAAAACAAUUAAAACAGCCUCGGUGCCUGCAAAGAAAAGUUUGAUUUUAAUCAAUGUUUUGAAUAAAAAACGUAAAAGUUUUGAAAAAAACUAUUGUGUUUUAUAAACAAGAGACAGUAAUCUAAUCCAUGCCUUAAGAACUUUCGGUUAUCUCAAGAGGUCUAGGAGAUAUAACCAGUCAAACAUGCUACCCACCUGUCGACUAAGCAAUAGUAUUUUUUGCUCUCUUUAAAUGUCAAUGGACAAAUUAAUGUUCUACCAGGUUACCCUUAUGACAACCGAUAGUUU
rnacentral:lncRNA from 1 species